GACGAACGCUGGCGGCGUGCCUAAUACAUGCAAGUAGAACGCUGAAGGAAGGAGCUUGCUCUUUCUGGAUGAGUUGCGAACGGGUGAGUAACGCGUAGGUAACCUGCCUGGUAGCGGGGGAUAACUAUUGGAAACGAUAGCUAAUACCGCAUAAAAUUGAUUAUUGCAUGAUAGUCAAUUAAAAGGUGCAACUGCACCACUACCAGAUGGACCUGCGUUGUAUUAGCUAGUUGGUGGGGUAACGGCUCACCAAGGCGACGAUACAUAGCCGACCUGAGAGGGUGAUCGGCCACACUGGGACUGAGACACGGCCCAGACUCCUACGGGAGGCAGCAGUAGGGAAUCUUCGGCAAUGGACGGAAGUCUGACCGAGCAACGCCGCGUGAGUGAAGAAGGUUUUCGGAUCGUAAAGCUCUGUUGUAAGAGAAGAACGAGUGUGAGAGUGGAAAGUUCACACUGUGACGGUAUCUUACCAGAAAGAGACGGCUAACUACGUG
rnacentral:rRNA from 1 species